rnacentral:misc_RNA from 1 species
UACGUAGGGGGCUAGCGUUGUCCGGAAUUACUGGGCGUAAAGCGCGCGUAGGCGGUCAUGUAAGUCAGAUGUGAAAUGGCCUGGCUUAACCAGGCAAUGGCAUCUGAUACUGCGUGACUUGAGUACAGGAGAGGAAAGUGGAAUGCAAGGUGUAGCGGUGAAAUGCGUAGAUAUCUUGUAGAACAUCGGUGGCGAAGGCGACUUUCUGGCCUGAUACUGACGCUGAGUGCGCGAAAGUGUGGGGAGCGAACGGG